rnacentral:rRNA from 1 species
ACGCACGCUGGCGGCGUGCUUAACCCAUGCAAGUCGCACGGAAAGGCCCUGCUUUUGUGGGGUGCUCGAGUGGCGAACGGGUGAGUAACACGUGAGUAACCUGCCCUUGACUUUGGGAUAACUUCAGGAAACUGGGGCUAAUACCGGAUAGGAGCUCCUGCUGCAUGGUGGGGGUUGGAAAGUUUCGGCGGUUGGGGAUGGACUCGCGGCUUAUCAGCUUGUUGGUGGGGUAGUGGCUUACCAAGGCUUUGACGGGUAGCCGGCCUGAGAGGGUGACCGGCCACAUUGGGACUGAGAUACGGCCCAGACUCCUACGGGAGGCAGCAGUGGGGAAUAUUGCACAAUGGGCGGAAGCCUGAUGCAGCAACGCCGCGUGCGGGAUGACGGCCUUCGGGUUGUAAACCGCUUUCGCCUGUGACGAAGCGUGAGUGACGGUAAUGGGUAAAGAAGCACCGGCUAACUACGUG